rnacentral:rRNA from 1 species
GAUGAACGCUGGCGGCGUGCCUAAUACAUGCAAGUCGAGCGAAUGGAUUAAGAGCUUGCUCUUAUGAAGUUAGCGGCGGACGGGUGAGUAACACGUGGGUAACCUGCCCAUAAGACUGGGAUAACUCCGGGAAACCGGGGCUAAUACCGGAUAAAAUUUUGAACCGCAUGGUUCGAAAUUGAAAGGCGGCUUCGGCUGUCACUUAUGGAUGGACCCGGGUCGCAUUAGCUAGUUGGUGAGGUAACGGCUCACCAAGGCAACGAUGCGUAGCCGACCUGAGAGGGUGAUCGGCCACACGGGGACUGAGACACGGCCCAGACUCCUACGGGAGGCAGCAGUAGGGAAUCUUCCGCAAUGGACGAAAGUCUGACGGAGCAACGCCGCGUGAGUGAUGAAGGCUUUCGGGUCGUAAAACUCUGUUGUUAGGGAAGAACAAGUGCUAGUUGAAUAAGCUGGCACCUUGACGGUACCUAACCAGAAAGCCACGGCUAACUACGUGCCAGCCGCCGCGGUAA